rnacentral:rRNA from 1 species
GUGGGAUGACGUCAAAUCAUCAUGCCUUAUAUCCUGGGCUACACACGUGCUACAAUGGCCGGUACAGACGGACGCAAAGCCGCGAGGCGGAGCAAAUCCGAAAAAGCCGGUCUCAGUUCGGAUUGCAGGCUGCAAUUCGCCUGCAUGAAGUCGGAAUCGCUAGUAAUCGCAGGUCAGCAUACUGCGGUGAAUACGUUCCCGGGCCUU